rnacentral:rRNA from 1 species
UUGACCUCGGAUCANGCAAGGAUACCCG